GAUAAUGUUGUGACAAGUGUUCGAACAAGUGAUGUCGACACUGAUGACUUCCCGAUUAAGAUAGGACUGCAUCAGGGGUCAGCUUUGAGCCCUUAUCUUUUUGCAUUGGUGAUGGAUGAGGUCACAAGGGAUAUACAAGGAGAUAUCCCAUGGUGUAUGCUCUUUGCGGAUGAUGUGGUGCUAGUUGACGAUAGUCGGGCGGGGGUAAAUAGGAAGUUGGAGUUAGGGAGACAAACCUUGGAAUCGAAAGGGUUUAGGCUUAGUAGGACUAAAACCGAGUACAUGAUGUGCGGUUUCAGUACUACUAGGUGUGAGGAGGAGGAAGUUAGCCUUGAUGGUCAGGUGGUACCUCAGAAGGACACCUUUCGGUAUUUGGGGUCAAUGCAGCAGGAGGAUGGGGGUAUUGAUGAAGAUGUGAACCAUCGGAUCAAAGCCGGAUGGAUGAAGUGGCGCCAAGCUUCUGGCAUUCUUUGUGACAAGAGAGUGCCACAAAAGCUAAAAGGCAAGUUCUACAGG
rnacentral:rRNA from 1 species